rnacentral:misc_RNA from 1 species
GUUUUGUUUCCCAUUCUAGUCUUUUGCGACACUUCAGGUUUACUUCUUUGUUAGGUCUCGACUUCUUCUUCUUCGCUAUGAUCUUCCCAAUAGUGCAUACCGUUUCAUUCCUUUUCAUUUUUGGUAUCAAACUAGUCCUAGUCCGUCCCAUCUAUGCUUUUUUUGUCGGACCAAACCACACCUCUGUGCGCCCUGGCCGGGCUGACAGGUUUUUGGCGCCA